rnacentral:rRNA from 1 species
AACGAACGCUGGCGGCAUGCCUAACACAUGCAAGUCGAACGAGACCUUCGGGUCUAGUGGCGCACGGGUGCGUAACGCGUGGGAACCUGCCCUUAGGUUCGGAAUAACUCCCCGAAAGGGGUGCUAAUACCGGAGAAUGUCUUCGGACCAAAGAUUUAUCGCCUUUGGAUGGGCCCGCGUUGGAUUAGCUAGUUGGUAGGGUAAAAGCCUACCAAGGCGACGAUCCAUAGCUGGUCUGAGAGGAUGAUCAGCCACACUGGGACUGAGACACGGCCCAGACUCCGACGGGAGGCAGCAGUAGGGAAUAUUAGACGAUGGGCGAAAGCCUGAUCCAGCAGUGCCGCGUGAGUGAUGAAGGCCUUAGGGUUGUAAAGCUCUUUUACACGGGAUGAUAAUGACAGUACCGGGAGAAUAAGCUCCGGCUAACUACGUG